ensembl:snRNA U6 U6 spliceosomal RNA
GUGCUCGCUUCAGUAGCACAUAAACUAAAAUUGGAACGAUACAGAGAAGAUUGGCACAACCCCUGUGCAAGAAUGACACACAAAUUUGUGAGGCAUUCCAUAUUUUU